rnacentral:lncRNA from 1 species
UUCCACCGGAUGGCUCUCCCUUUUAUAGAAUUUUCCCAAAGCUCAAGAGACGCUGGGAAUCAAUGAAGAUCAAACCGGCCGUUUAAUUUGCUCCCUGUUUUCGCGAUGGAAGUCGAACCGAGAUUGCUGGGUGCUUUGCGAUGGACUCGGUCAUGGGAAGGUUUUGAUUCGGCUGUUGAGAUGAUGAAGCAUCUGAAACGCAUGGAUUUGAAUGCAGCUUGGAAUGAUCCGGUUUGCUUGAGAUACGGGAUGAAGUUGAAUCGCUUGGGAUUCUUCAGCUGGAAAUUGUGGAAGAAGAUGACCGUUGGGAAGAAAA